rnacentral:rRNA from 1 species
CCAGCUGAGUAUUCAGCUGGGGUUGUAGGGCUGGUUCGGUUUAGAGCCAAUGGAUUGCGUAUAGGUAGUUGAGCGGCAUGGAAAGGCCGGCCAAAGAGGGUGAGAGCCCCGUAAGCGAAACCUAGACGGACCAUAAUCAGUACCUGAGUACAGCGGGACACGGGAAACCCUGCUGGAAUCUGGGAGGACCAUCUUCCAAGCCUAAGUAUUACUUGGUGACCGAUAGUGAACCAGUACCGUGAGGGAAAGGUGAAAAGAACCCCGGCGAGGGGAGUGAAAAGAAUCUGAAACCGAAUGUUUACAAGCCGUGGAAGCACUAUGCCGCAAGGAAUGUGCGACCGCGUGCCUUUUGCAUAAUGAGCCUGCGAGUUGUGGUGACCGGCAAGGUUAAGCCGAUAGGUGAAGCCGAAGCGAAAGCGAGUCUGAUAAGGGGCGUCUAGUCGGUUGCUGCAGACCCGAAACCCUGUGAU